GAUGAACGCUGGCGGCGUGCCUAAUACAUGCAAGUCGAGCGAACAGACGAGGAGCUUGCUCCUCUGACGUUAGCGGCGGACGGGUGAGUAACACGUGGAUAACCUACCUAUAAGACUGGGAUCACUUCGGGAAACCGGAGCUAAUACCGGAUAAUAUAUUGAACCGCAUGGUUCAAUAGUGAAAUACGGUUUUGCUGUCACUUAUAGAUGGAUCCGCGCCGCAUUAGCUAGUUGGUAAGGUAACGGCUUACCACGGCAACGAUGCGUAGCCGACCUGAGAGGGUGAUCGGCCACACUGGAACUGGGACACGGUCCAGACUCCUACGGGAGGCAGCAGUAGGGAAUCGUCCGCAAUGGGCGAAAGCAUGACGGAGCAAGGCGGAGUGAGUGAUGAAGGUCUUCGGAGCGUAAAACUCUGUUAUGAGGGAAGAACAAAUGUGUAAGUAACUAUGCACGGCUUGACGGUACCUAAUCAGAAAGCCACGGCUAACUACGUG
rnacentral:rRNA from 1 species